rnacentral:rRNA from 1 species
CACGUAGGGCGCGAGCGUUGUCCGGAAUUAUUGGGCGUAAAGAGCUCGUAGGCGGCCUGUUGCGUCCGCUGUGAAAGCCCGGGGCUUAACCCCGGGUCUGCAGUGGAUACGGGCAGGCUAGAGGUAGGUAGGGGAGAAUGGAAUUCCCGGUGUAGCGGUGAAAUGCGCAGAUAUCGGGAGGAACACCGGUGGCGAAGGCGGUUCUCUGGGCCUUACCUGACGCUGAGGCGCGAAAGCUAGGGGAGCGAACAGG